CCGGCGCACGGGUGAGUAACACGUAUCCAACCUGCCGUCUACUCUUGGCCAGCCUUCUGAAAGGAAGAUUAAUCCAGGAUGGCAUCAUGAGUUUACAUGUCCGCAUGAUUAAAGGUAUUUUCCGGUAGACGAUGGGGAUGCGUUCCAUUAGAUAGUAGGCGGGGUAACGGCCCACCUAGUCAACGAUGGAUAGGGGUUCUGAGAGGAAGGUCCCCCACAUUGGAACUGAGACACGGUCCAA
rnacentral:rRNA from 1 species